UUCGGGGGGAACGCGAAGAACCUUUCCAAAUCUUGACAUCCUUUGAAAACUCUAGAGAUAGAGCCUUCCCCUUCGGGGGACAAAGUGACAGGUGGUGCAUGGUUGUCGUCAGCUCGUGUCGUGAGAUGUUGGGUUAAGUCCCGCAACGAGCGCAACCCUUAAGCUUAGUUGCCAUCAUUAAGUUGGGCACUCUAGGUUGACUGCCGGUGACAAACCGGAGGAAGGUGGGGAUGACGUCAAAUCAUCAUGCCCCUUAUGAUUUGGGCUACACACGUGCUACAAUGGACAAUACAAAGGGCAGCUAAACCGCGAGGUCAUGCAAAUCCCAUAAAGUUGUUCUCAGUUCGGAUUGUAGUCUGCAACUCGACUACAUGAAGCUGGAAUCGCUAGUAAUCGUGAUCAGCCCCAAUCCC
rnacentral:rRNA from 1 species